UUGUUACUUUUUUUUUUUUUUUCCCUUUCCCUUCUCCCCUUUCUUCUCUGCAGGGUCAGGCUGGAGCCGGUGUUAUUGUUGUUAAAUUUAGAUCGGGAACUAUAUUGGGCCCGACCUGGUGUCCACAAGCUUUCACUUCUUAAAACAGGAAGGAAGGCCCCAGCUGGGGAGUUUCAGAGUGCCAAGAAGCUUCUCCGGAGACCUCAGGGAAAUGCGUUUAGCUGGAAACCACUGGAGAAGACCCCCACUAAGUUUGUCCCAAGAAGUGUUCCGUUCCUCUGUCACUUGCCAGGUGGCUUUCUUGCCGUGUCUCCGACGCACCAGACACACUCCGGCCUCCGUGCUUUCUCUUGUCUAGAAACCGUCUUCCCGUUGAGAUGUCCGCACGACCUACUUCCUUAUCGUCUUAGCUCGAAUGACCACUUGGGUCGUAAUCGGCCUUCUCCGGCUCCGUCUCCAAGAUCGCAUCCCUCCCCUGCCUGCAGCACGGUCUGCCCCCCUCUGAGUUUUCCGGGUGGCAUUCACUGGCAUUCGAAUACAUCUGGCCUACCGUACCGUUCAUCAGUUCAUCUUGCUACUUGCUCUCCCCCCCACGCCCAUCCCCCGCCCGCUACUAGACCGUGAACUCCUGAGGGCAGAAACUUGGAUGGUUAGCUUUACGCCGUGUUCCCCUAGUACGCGACGCAUAGCAAGCUUACAGCAAAUGUGCGUGGGAUGAAUUCCUGAGUGAAUGAAGACCGAAGGCAUCCAGGCAAGGAAGGACGUGUCCGCUUCUCCCGUUGGUUUUGCCAUAGGUAGCUCCUAGAAAGUUCUUGGUCCCCCUCCAGUUGGAGAAGCUAAGGGCUCAGAGAGGCAGACACUCUUCUGAAGGUCACACGGCUGAGGACGGCAGGCACGUAGACAGCACCCGCUACCUGCCGAGGACUGUGCUAGACCUUUCAGUGUUUCGGAGGCGUGUGUUAGUUUCCGGGGGCUGCAGUGAACAAGGGCGUGGGGCGCCCAGGGGGGCUCAGUCGGUUAAGCGUCCAACUCUCGACCUCGGCGCAGGUCGUGAUCUCACGGUCCGUGAGUUGGAGCCCCUCGUCGGGCUCUGCGCUGAAAGCACAGAGCCUGCUUGGGAUUCUCUCUCUUCCUCUCUCUGCCCCUUCCCUGCUCGCUCUCUGUCCUUCUCUCUCAAAAUAAAUUAAAAAAAAAAAAAACUUUGAAAAAUUUG
rnacentral:lncRNA from 1 species